ensembl:lncRNA
UUCAUUAAAAAACAAAACGUCUUUAUUUCAUGUGCAUAUUGUUCCUGAGAGAAUGUGCAAUUCUUUUCAAAUCCAUGCUAACCAGAGGAAUAUAUACACAUUAUGACAAAACCAGUGCAUUACUUGGUUCACAGCAGUGACUAUAAACAAUAAAUCUCUCUUCCUCACGCCUUAAUCGUGCCUAUAUUUUCUUUAAUACAUGUGCUUGCAGCAGUGGAGUGCUGAUGCCAAGGGGGAUGAGCUGAUGUAUAAUAUAAAAAAAAACAUAAUUCAACAUAGCAUGUGUGGUUUUUAAGAAAGUGGACAAAAAAAAGGCUGUAUCAAAAAUGCUACAAACCCACAAUAACAGAAACAGCUAACCCCCCCCCCCCCCCCCCCCCCCCCCCACACACACACACACAUCUAGAUGUGAAUAAUUGAAUCAUUGAUACAUUUUAGACAUUACAAAUUCUCAGACGGGAUGUUUGAAAAAUCACAACUAUGGAUUGUACAAGACACUAGUUGGAAACCUCAAUUAAACAUAAUUGAUUUUUUUUUAUAAAUUAUGUCAGAUUAAUAGGCAACACUGUACCAUUUGGUGACAUGGAGCGGAAGAAGGAUGUUAUACAGUUACUUGGUUGAGAGAAAUGUAAAAACCUAUUGUUAUAAGAAAACAAUAGCACUGUAGGAAAAAACUAAAAUUAUAUAUAUGUAUAUACACACAAACACACACACACACAAAAUCAAUGAAGCUUGAUUUAGCAUUCAAUUCAGCUGAAGAAAGGAUGUACCUAGUCAUGUGGUGUGCUGUUAUUUAUAAAAGGCUGAACUUUUAUAUUUCUAAAAAAGUCAACAUCCAAAAUUUGGGGAAGGUUACACGUAUGUAGAGUUGAGUUAAGCACACCCUUAAGUUGAUUUUCUGGCUUUGCUAUUGAGAUGAUCUAAGAUACCUUUGUAUAUUUCUCGCCUCCAAGGUUGCCGGAUUUUCUUUAGUAGAAGCAGCCGAGACCGGGUUUGUAAUAGCUUCUACACCCCCACCUUUAAACACAAACACCUGCCUUUAAGACAGAAAAAAAAAUCAGUAUAGAAAAUACAGACUGAAAAAAGAAAUAGUUUUUUUUUUUCUCUAAAUGAAUUGUAAGGCAUAAUGAGAUGGCAAGGAUCUAACUAAAUCCAACAGGAGUCUAGUAUAUCGGCGAUAUAUUGGCCACUUGAUGCAGCACAUCCUAUUAUUUGGGUUGUGUAAGGGUCGCAGAGGUAACAAGCCUGGUAACGUCGAGUGCAAACCAGGAGAACUCAGCGGGGUGAGAGAUGGGAUGCUGGGCCAUUGUAGGACACCACACACACCUAGGGGUAAUUUAGCAUAGCCAGUCCACCUAUCUGCAAGUUUUUUGGACAGUGGAAGGAAACCCAUACAAACACACAGAGAGCAUGUGAAGCUUCAAACCGGAUCAAACUGGUGACCCUGGAACAGUGAGACGGCAAAGCUACCUUUUUAUAUUUUAAAUUUAUACAUUUAAUAUUGCCUUAGAGUGUUGUUACAGUCCAAAAACAUAAAUAUGUGUAUAUAUAUAUAUAUA